rnacentral:rRNA from 1 species
UACAGAGGGUGCAAACGUUGUUCGGAUUUACUGGGCGUAAAGCGCGUGUAGGCUGCUUCGCAAGUCGGAUGUGAAAGCCCUGGGCUCAACCCAGGAAGUGCAUUCGAAACUGCAGAGCUGGAGUCCUGGAGAGGAAGGCGGAAUUCUCGGUGUAGAGGUGAAAUUCGUAGAUAUCGAGAGGAACACCGGUGGCGAAGGCGGCCUUCUGGACAGUG